UCUGUUUUUAAGAAAGUAAUUUUCAACGAUAAUGACCAGAAGGAAAGCAAAAUCAGAGCCUUCAAACACUUUAAUCAGUCGUUUCCAUUUUAUAUUCCAAUCCAGCACCACCAAAUGUCUGCAAGUGAAAUGAUAAAAAUGUACCCAAACGGCCAAUACUGGGGAUCUGCGAUACACUUCUUGCUUAGUACAAAAGGGCAUGGCUCCUCUGAUUGGCAUCUUUUCCAGAGAGAGUUCAACGGCCACAAUACAACAUGCCACCCCUAUAUUUCCAAUUCGAUGCAAUCAAAGCUUUUUGAGGAGCAGAUUCCGCAAUGCGAGAAAGCCGAGGAAUUUCUUUUUGAGCCUUGGGUUUUGGUGCAGCUGCCAUUUCAAUCUGAUUUGCUCCAUCAGUGGCUUGUCGCAACUCUUUGGGAAGCUCUGAAUUUUGAGAUUGAACUGUCAGAGUUCUUCUACGUUCCAUUUCCAGACCGCGAAGAAACUAAAAAUAUCAAGCUCUAUUUGGAGAAAAUUUGGAGCAAUUUAGAGCGAGCCCUUCGAGAAGGAUUUGAUUUGCUGCAAAAAUUCCUCGACGGCUCGAACGUCA